rnacentral:SRP_RNA from 1 species
GCUGGGCGUGGUGGCGUGCGCCUGUAAUCUAGCUACUUGGAGGCCAGGGUGCGUGAUUUCGUGGGACCGGGAGUUCUGGCAUAUGGGUGCUCAUGUUGAUCGGGCGUCCACGCUAAGCACGGCGCCGAUAUGGAUGGGCUGUCCAGGUCGUCUAAGGAGGGCCGGACCGGACCAGGGGGGAAACCCAGCAGGCAAAAGUCCCCGCGUGGUGCGGUAGCGGAAUAGCGCCUGUGAAUAGUGUCCAUGUGACAGCCCGGUUGGCGCGUGAAGACCGCCUCCUUU